CCCACCGGCCCUUGCGAAAGGGGCAGGAGUAGGCGAGGAGUUCUGGUCAGUAUGGAUACUUAGAACUUUAAAAUUCCAAUUUGCCGCCUAGACCCGUGUAGCUGACGUUUAUAUUGCUGAACGAAGUGAGUGGUCUUGCUAUUGCUUCAGCAGACCCUCUUAUCAAGUAUCUCCCUUUUGGCUUGGUCAGCCCAGCGGCAAGCCGACGGGAGGUGGGGAGACUAACCUGAGGCUGAAGUAAUCUGAGGGAGAAAGAGGGGCACGCCAUGUUCCCCUUCUCGGGAUGGGGGCUGAGCUGCCUCCGGCUCUGUCUGCUCAGAGUGUGGGCCGGCGAGGCCACCGGGCGCUGGGCCUGUGGGACAUGUCAGUCCCGGCUGUACGGCUCAGGUGGGUCCCAGCCCGAGGUCUCUAGGUCUGACCCUGCGCGCAGGACUCUGAAGGAGUGGGCGCUGCUGGUGAGCCCUUUCGGCCGGCUGCGGGCGCGGCUCCCAUGCCACCUGACCGUGAGGCCCCUGGACCCCCUCACCUACCCAGACGGCGACCGCGUGCUGGUCACAGUGAGCGGAGUGGAGGGCGGGGCGCGGGCCCUGGCCGGCCUGCAGGUGAACUACGACGAGGCGCAGAAGGAGGUGACCAUCGUGGCUGAUGCCAUCGACCACCAGGCGUCCGUGGAAGUGAACGCCCCCCUGAAGUUUGAUUUGAAUAUCCAGUCAUCAGGGUCUGGCUGUGUAAAGGUCCAAAAUAUUGAGUGUGAUAAUUGCAAAAUUGAAACUGAGCAGGGGACUAGCAUCUUACAGUCUGUUAAGAGUCAAAAAUUACAUGUUCAAACAACAGGAGGCAAAGUGAUCUGCCUGGGAACGGUUUAUGGAAAUAUAGAUAUCCAUGCAUCAGAUAAAAGUACUGUGACUGUAGACAAACUACAGGGAAGUUCUGUUAAUAUAUCUACUGAAGAUGGUUUGCUGAAAGUCAAGUAUCUUUAUACAGAAUCAUCAUUUCUGUCUUCUGCUGCUGGGGAUAUUACGUUAGGAAGUAUUCAUGGUAAUAUAACAUUACGAAGCAAGAUGGGUAACAUCACAGUAGAUUCGUCUUCUGGAUGUCUAAAUGCCUUGGCUCAGCAGGGUGCCAUAGAUGUUUAUGUCAGCCAGCUGGGGAAAGUGGAAUUGAAAGUCCAUAAAGGCUCUAUUCUUGUCAAGGUUGCAUCUUCUCUUCAAGCUUAUUUACAGUUAUCAGGGAAAGAGAUUGAUGUGAACUCAGAUGUCCAUGUUGAAGAAAUGAAUGAAGCUCAUAGAGAUGAUGGUGUGAUAAUUACUGAAAAGAACCUGACCUUCAGGGACUGGUCAAGAAUUCUCAUAUGAACACUCCACAGGUUACUUCAUCAGGUAUAUACUUACUUGGAAAUAAGUCUGCAGUACUGCAUCUUUAGGAUCCGGAGUUGUUGGCAGCCCAUUUCAAGGUUCUCAAGCAUUUGGUCAGUAAGCAGGAUACAACCAGAAACAUCCAAAACGUGCAGAGGAUAGUGAGAGAGCUCACUGCAGCAGCCCUAUCACAAUUCAGGCCAAGAGGGAGCAGAGGUUUUUCCAAAGAGAAGAAACUGGGCAGAGGCAUUACUUCAGCCACAUCAAAGAUGGUAACAUGCUGGUGAACAUCUAAGUGCUAGUAUUCAUUAGGAAAUCAGUCAUGUAAUUUAAUGCACCCUACAGUGUUUAUCCAAUCCCAUAAGAAUGUAGAAUAUUUCUAAAGCAUAUGUAAUUGAUUUUCACUUUUCUUUGUAGUUCUCCAUCAUCCAGUUAUUUAUUGUUUCUAACAAGUAUGGUUCAAAUACUUUCACAAUAUUGUAUAAAUACAUCUUUCCUUUUUUGGGCAGCCAUGACUACAUUAACAUUUAGCUCUUGACAUAUUUUGUUUAUGUUAAUCCAGAGUUUCCAAGGACAGAGAUGCUAUUUUACUCAUCACAGUGCCCGGUAUGCAGCAGGCUCUCAGUAAACACCAGUGAAAAACAUUUAGUCAUAAGCUUCUAUUCUCAACUCUUUUUGUUUUAUCAGGACAUUUUUCCUUGGUCAAAUAUAUUAACACAUAUCUUCAUAGUGCAAAAUUCCAAACAUAUAAAAAGAAACUGCAUUUUAGUUUUCAAGGGAUGAACCUAUAAAACCUGUGAAUAAUCAGCUUUCCUUCUUUGAAACUAUUUUGUAUUGUCAUACCAAUGCAAUUAGACCAGGUAGGUUGAAACUAUCCUCAUAGGUAGGUAGAUGGAGCCAGGAAAGUAGAUGAAACCUCAGAAGACUUCAUAAGUCCCUCGGGAGCAGUAACUUCCAAAAUACACUGAUUCGUCCUGAAGUUAUAGCAGCAGCCAUUAUUAACAUAUCUAUGGUUCAUAAUGAGCCCAUUUCUUACAAAGUUUCAAAUGGUAAAAUUUCCAGUGCCUGACAACUAGGUUAAAUCUGUUUGUUGUUAAAUUAUUAAGUGAACAAAGGGAAAUGGAGUAUAGAUGAAUAAAAAACACCCUAACAUUAUUUUGCAUGAUGUGAAAUACUAACAUCACUGUAGUUUGAGAAUUACAAAUUCAGGAUCAAUUAGGAAACAAAAUCUAUUCUUGAUACAUUCAGACCAAACUCCAACACCUACUAAUACAGGCAGGCAGUGCAGUGAAGUGGUAACUGCCCCAGAUUAAGUGCAUGUUUGGACAUUACUGAGUGGAGAAGAGGGCGGUACACUGAGGAGUGGGCUCCAUUUCAAGGGGUGAGGCUGACUGUGUUCCAGCCCCUUUUACCAUGUGGGAAUGCAGGCCCAAAUUUGCUAGUUCUUAUGUAAUUUUUUUUUUAAGAGAAACUUGAAGUCUAGAUUUUUGUUUGAAAACUCCAAAAUUCCAAAUGUUGGCUCAAAAUUUAAAGACAGACUAUAUCUAUAUGUUUUGUAUAAGUAUCUGGCCAGAAGGUCAUCAGUUUGAAACCUCUGACUUUGAGCUGUGUUUGAAAAUAUUUAACCUUAGGACAUGUUUAUGUGUGUUUGUGUGUCUAUGCAUGUGUUUGUGUUGUUGCUGCAAUAAAUAUUUGGUGGAAACUGAGAAGAAAAAGGAGUUAAGUCACACUGUGAGGAGGGUUCUAAAGCACUGAGCAAUUCUAAAAAGUUUUCAAGAUUUGGACUCUGCUAUCAUAAUUGUGCACAGAGUAUCUACACAGAAGUGGUCUGCUUCAUCAU